AAGACUCGAACCACUUUUGGUCCUUGAGAGACGACCUAGGGGUCAUUCCCUAGCUAUACUGCAUUUCUCAUAUGCAAUCAAAUUUGUAUGGGCCGCGACACCCAUCAGCGAGCAGUGGUGACGAGGUGCAACGGAGGAGGGGCGACCAUGGCAACGGAGGUGUGACGAAUGUGGCGGUGGAGACGCGGCGAGGGAGGCGUGAGCAGUGGUGGAGACUGAGUAUUAGUGGUAGAGAGCAAAGUGAAGAGAGGGAGAAGUAGGUUUGCGAGAGGGAGAAGUGAAAACUUUUGGCGUAAACGAAAGCUGCUGGAAGAAAAUAAGGCCUAUUACCUCAGUUAAUAAGAAAUCUGAGGUUGUAACAGCCUAUAGGACUCGGUUAAACACACACCCGAUGCCUAUUUGCUUCAACAAAUGCACUAUAUGAUUCAGUUGGCCUUGAAACCGGUGUCCUAUACUCUUUGUGCAUAGGUUUUUUUUUACCCGAAGCCUAUAACUUGUUCUUAAUAACCAAAUUGCCACCGCGUCUUUAAAUGCUUCGGUUUCACAGAAACCGAAGCCUAUACGGUGAGUUAAGAACAUGUUUUUUUACUAGUGCUCUAUCCCCUUUAGUGGAGUCUCGGUUCUCUUUCGUUGAGCUCUCUAAAACCCUAAUUUUCCCUCAUUUGAACUAUCGUUGUGCGUCCUUUGUACUGGUUAAUUGGUAAAUAAUGUUUAAUUCUUAUUGAGCUAAAUUUUUUAAUUGCAAAACCCUAAUCCUUUUUUUUUUCUACUAGGCAUAAAAUUGCAAUUCUCCAUCCUCAAUCUCUUCUCCACCCUCUCUCUCUUCUCUUAAGCCUCAAUUUCUCUCAUCCAUUCUCGAUUUAUGCAAUUACUCGCAGGAUAAGGUUUUGUUUCUUCCCCGUAAAGCUAUUUUGCACGACUUUCUUUUUUCUACAUGCAUUUCUUCUUGUUAAUUGUUACAAAAGAAGAAAGAAUGAAAUAUUGUAUUUCUUAUUGAAUGAUAAGGAAAGAGUACAAUUGAUAUAUAUAAUUGUUCAGAGCAAUAUAAAAAAGGAAUAUAAGUAUAAAAAUAUAUGAACAUAAAUGCACAGAUAUGAACAGAGAAUAAAAUGAUUCCAAUAUCCCCC
rnacentral:lncRNA from 1 species